rnacentral:lncRNA from 1 species
CAGGUCCUACCAUCCUUUACUCCGUAUCUUAUAAAGUAUGUUUGAUAUGUAGAUGACAUUUUUACAGUAUGGCGUAAUUACAAUGACAUGAAUGCCUUUAAGGAGGCUCUGACACAGAGCCAAUAUGGGACAGCCCUUCGUUUAGAACAGAGCAGUAUGGAAGAAGUACAUUACUUGGAUAUAUUAGUAAAGCUAGAGAAAUGCAACUUAAGAACUUCAGUCUAUAGGAAACCAUAUUUCCAGCCGAUCCUAAUUCCUAGGUGGUCUGUAGACCCAAUUUCGUGCAAAGAUUCCGCAUUUCGAUAUUAUUUUAGAAGGGUGUAUGAUUAUACAACUAAUAACGAGGAUU